AAUGUCGUAACAAGGUUUCCGUAGGUGAACCUGCGGAAGGAUCAUUAAAUCAUAUUACGGGGGGACCGGACCCAAGGGUUGCGUGGAUUUCCAUGUGCUUUGACCCGCCCAUGUCUGAAUAUUCUACCCAUGUCUUUUCGCGUACUAUUCGUUUCCUCGGUGGGCCUUGCCUGCCGAUAGGGACACUAUAAAAGCCUUUUGGUAAUUGCAGUCAGCGUCAGAAAAUUAAUUUUCAACUAACUUAAAAG
rnacentral:misc_RNA from 1 species